rnacentral:snRNA from 1 species
AUCGCUUCUCGGCCUUUUGGCUAAGAUCAAGUGUAGUAUCUGUUCUUAUCAGUUUAAUAUCUGAUACGUCCUCUAUCCGAGGACAAUAUAUUAAAUGGAUUUUUGGAGCAGGGAGAUGGAAUAGGGAGCUUGCUCCGUCCACUCCGCGCAUCGACCUGGUAUUGCAGUACCUCCAGGAACGGUGCACCCCCU